rnacentral:rRNA from 1 species
CACAACAAUAAGCGGAGGAAAAGAAACCAACAGGGAUUGCCCUAGUAACGGCGAGUGAAGCGGCAACAGCUCAAAUUUGAAACCUGGCGCUUGCGUCCGGAUUGUAAUUUGUAGAGGAUGCUUCUGGGCAGCGGCCGUUCUAAGUUCCUUGGAACAGGACGUCAUAGAGGGUGAGAAUCCCGUAUGUGACCGGCGCGCACCCUCCACGUAGCUCCUUCGACGAGUCGAGUUGUUUGGGAAUGCAGCUCUAAAUGGGAGGUAAAUUUCUUCUAAAGCUAAAUAUUGGCCAGAGACCGAUAGCGCACAAGUAGAGUGAUCGAAAGAUGAAAAGCACUUUGGAAAGAGAGUUAAAAAGCACGUGAAAUUGUUGAAAGGGAAGCGCUUCCAACCAGACUCCGCGGCGGUGUUCCGCCGGUCUUCUGACCGGUCCACUCGCCGCCGUGGGGCCAACAUCGUCUGGGGCCGCCGGAUAAGACCGGAGGAAUGUAGCUCAUUGAGUGUUAUAGCCUCCGGUGAUGCGGCGCGUCCCGGGCGAGGUCCGCGCUUCGGCAAGGAUGUUGGCGUAAUGGUUGGCAGCGGCCCGUCUUGAAACACGGACCAAGGAGUCUAACAUCUAUGCGAGUGUUCGGGUGUCAAACCCCUACGCGUAAUGAAAGUGAACGGAGGUGGGAGCUUCGGCGCACCAUCGACCGAUCCUGAUGUCCUCGGAUGGAUUUGAGUAAGAGCAUAGCUGUUGGGACCCGAAAGAUGGUGAACUAUGCCUGAAUAGGGUGAAGCCAGAGGAAACUCUGGUGGAGGCUCGCAGCGGUUCUGACGUGCAAAUCGAUCGUCAAAUUUGGGUAUAGGUGCGAAAGACUAAUCGA